rnacentral:rRNA from 1 species
GACGAACGCGGCGGCGUGCCUAAUACAUGCAAGUAGAACGCUGAAGCUUGGUGCUUGCACCGAGCGGAUGAGUUGCGAACGGGUGAGUAACGCGUAGGUAACCUGCCUGGUAGCGGGGGAUAACUAUUGGAAACGAUAGCUAAUACCGCAUAAGAGUAGAUGUUGCAUGACAUUUGCUUAAAAGGUGCAAUUGCAUCACUACCAGAUGGACCUGCGUUGUAUUAGCUAGUUGGUGAGGUAACGGCUCACCAAGGCAACGAUACAUAGCCGACCUGAGAGGGUGAUCGGCCACACUGGGACUGAGACACGGCCCAGACUCCUACGGGAGGCAGCAGUAGGGAAUCUUCGGCAAUGGACGGAAGUCUGACCGAGCAACGCCGCGUGAGUGAAGAAGGUUUUCGGAUCGUAAAGCUCUGUUGUAAGAGAAGAACGAGUGUGAGAGUGGAAAGUUCACACUGUGACG